AGUUAAGUGGUCACUAGAUUGAAGUCUGGAGUCAGGUUCUAAGUCUCUAAGUGCAGAGCUAGCAAACUAUCAUUGUGGACAGAAUAGAGUGCAGUGCAAUCACCUUCAACAAUCAACUGUAUUAUGUGAUGAUACAUCAUGACAAGAUUAUUAAUCCCUAGUAGAAGAAUGAAAAAUUGAACUCCAUGAAUACAUUUAUUUCAUAUGUAAAAGCACUUGCACAUAAACAGGAAGGAUAGCUUUCAUGUCUUUAUGCCACUGAAAUUACAGCCUACAAACUGGGAGGAACAGAUUGAGUACUGCAAUCAAGGUCC
rnacentral:lncRNA from 1 species